rnacentral:rRNA from 1 species
UGCAAGUCGAGGGGCAGCAUGGUCUUAGCUUGCUAAGGCCGAUGGCGACCGGCGCACGGGUGAGUAACACGUAUCCAACCUGCCGUCUACUCUUGGACAGCCUUCUGAAAGGAAGAUUAAUACAAGAUGGCAUCAUGAGUCCGCAUGUUCACAUGAUUAAAGGUAUUCCGGUAGACGAUGGGGAUGCGUUCCAUUAGAUAGUAGGCGGGGUAACGGCCCACCUAGUCUUCGAUGGAUAGGGGUUCUGAGAGGAAGGUCCCCCACAUUGGAACUGAGACACGGUCCAAACUCCUACGGGAGGCAGCAGUGAGGAAUAUUGGUCAAUGGGCGAGAGCCUGAACCAGCCAAGUAGCGUGAAGGAUGACUGCCCUAUGGGUUGUAAACUUCUUUUAUAAAGGAAUAAAGUCGGGUAUGCAUACCCGUUUGCAUGUACUUUAUGAAUAAGGAUCGGCUAACUCCGUGCCAGCAGCCGCGGUAAUACGGAGGAUCCGAGCGUUAUCCGGAUUUAUUGGGUUUAAAGGGAGCGUAGAUGGAUGUUUAAGUCAGUUGUGAAAGUUUGCGGCUCAACCGUAAAAUUGCAGUUGAUACUGGAUAUCUUGAGUGCAGUUGAGGCAGGCGGAAUUCGUGGUGUAGCGGUGAAAUGCUUAGAUAUCACGAAGAACUCCGAUUGCGAAG